GACGAAACGCUGGCGGCGUGGAUUAGGCAUGCAAGUCGAACGGUAUCAUCCUUUCGGGGGUGAGAGAGUGGCGAACUGGUGAGUAACACGUAGGUUAUCUACCCUCAAGACGGGGGACAACCCAGGGAAACUUGGGCUAAUACCGGAUGUGAGCAACUUUUAGUUGUUUGAAAGGUGGCGUAAGCUGUCGCUUGGGGAUGAGCCUGCGUCCUAUUAGUUAGUUGGUGAGGUAACGGCUCACCUAGGCAAUGAUAGGUAGGCGGCCUUAACGGGUGGUCGCCCACACUGGGAUUGAGAUACGGCCCAGACUCCUACGGGAGGCAGCAGUCGAGAAUAGUCUACAAUGGUCGGAAGACUGAUAGUGCGACGCCGCGUGAACGAUGAAUCCCUUCGGGGUGUAAAGUUCUUUUAUAUGUGAGCAGUGCUUCUUAUAUUAACAGUAUGGGGAGAGAGAUAUUAGCAUAUGAAUAAGCAACGGCUAACUCCGUGCCAGCAGCCGCGGUAAG
rnacentral:rRNA from 1 species